GGACGAACGCUGGCGGCGCGCUUAACACAUGCACGUCGAACGGAAAGGCCUGCUUUCCCUUGUGGAUUGCGGGUACUCGAGUGGCGAACGGGUGAGUAACACGUGCGUGAUCUGCCCCCAACUUGGGUAUAAGCCUGGGAAACUGGGUCUAAUUCCCGAUAGGACUGCAGGGUGGUGCCUGUGGUGGAAAACGAUUUUCUAGUGGUUGGGGAUGGGCUCGCGGCCUAUCAGCUUGGUGGUGGGGUAAUGGCCUACCAAGGCGGCGACGGGUAGCCGGCCAGGGAGAGUGGGCGGCCACGUGGGGACGGAGAUACGGCCAAGGAUCCUACGGGAGGCAGCAGUGGGGAAUAUUGCACAAUGGGCGGAAGCCUGAUGCAGCGACGCCGCGUGGGGGAUGACGGCCUUCGGGUUGUAAACUCCUUUCGACCGCGAGGAAGCCGCCUGGUUGGAAGGGUGGUGACGGUAGUGGUAGAAGAAGCACCGGCUAACUACGUG
rnacentral:rRNA from 1 species